CUUUUCCAAAUGAAUUUCUCCAAAUUGAAUCCCAAUCCCUAACUUCUCCAUUUUUCCCCUUUCUUCUCGGCAAAUUUCACCGCUGCGCCGACCGUCGCCGACGUCACCGCUUCCAGCAAUUCAGUGCCGACGCGAGCAUCUUCUGCUAAGGCAACGUCGUCAGUCUGCCGUCGCUGCUGUUUCGAGACCUAGAAGUCGGCGCUCCGCCGUCAGUUUAGAGCCACCAUCAUCGGCUCCUGCCACUUGGUUCUAUCAGCCCUUGCUCCUCACUCGUCGGCUGCGAGGCUCCGUUUGUCCUUUGUGCUCACAACAGCAUCGGCUCCCUGGCGCUGCUUCUUGGUGAAAACAGAGUCGUCGCCACUGAUUGAAGCUACAAUGAUGACGCCCCGUCUGUCGGGUUUGAGUUUGAGAGCCUCUUUCUCGUCCUCUGCUCCUGCUGAUGCCUUGCACGAGUAGCUACUGCUUCACCGCUGUCAAGUGCCGUUACUGCCCCGAUGAGUCCGUGUGGCUACCUUCAUGGCCUCACCGUCACCGGUAGUCAUUGGGCAGCCCUUCCGGCCCUAAAGCUAAGUUCUUUUUGCCUUAACACACUUAGUUUGAUUGAUUGUGAAUUUUGGGCAGUAGCUAUGUGGUGCUAAAGCUUUGUUCUUCGUUGGUAGUCAUGAUAAUUUAUUACUGAUCUUGGGCUAAAAGAAAUCAUAUGAUAUUUCUUGUUCCAAGUUGUGUGAAUUGGAGAUCCUAAAGCUUUUAAGUUCUUUGAGCAUGAGGUUCUAAUGAGAUGCAAGAGGGGAGUAUUUUGAUUACCUGUUGUGGAGCUAUGAAAAGUGUGGAUGAACUCCCCCUUUGCUGCUUAGUUCUCGGUCCUCACAGAACAGAAAUAUGCUGAAUUUCAGAUGUGGUGUAAGGGAAGAUUGAGGGUGGUAAGGAUGGGUCUUUAUAGGUGAUUUGGUAACUGCAAAAUCUGCAACUCUUGAUCCUCUUGCAGGGACAUUUUUGUUGGUUGUGAGAGUGUACUCGUAUAUUCAGAUCUGGGCUGCCUUAUUCUUGUUUUAUCUUGCUGCCAUUUUAACUGCAUUUGGUUGUAUGUGGAGCUUGGUGCUUUAGCUAUUAAAUGGCUUGGUUGCUGUGGCAGGUACUCAAGAAAGGGGCAGAGAUUGUUACUGCAGCUCUGCAGUUUGUUGCAGCUGGAAGGCAGACAUUGCAGGCUCAUUUGCCCCAUUGCAGCUUGCGGUUAAGGCUGGGAAAGGGCAGGGAUGGAAUAAGGACCCAUCAUGUCCGGCUGCCACCUUGAUGUUCUGAUCUCAACGGGCUGUCGAAGCCGGGCCUAAAUUCGGGCCUAAGGAAGAGGCCGAGACUUAGCAUUUCUACUUGUAAUAGAAUAGAGUCUUCUCUCUUGUUCUUUUCCAAGCUUUCUCUCCUUUCAAACAAAAUGUCCAUGGCAAGAAAAAUAUAAAAGGCAGGAAAGCUCAACAAGAGGUUGUUGCACAAAUUUAUGAUGAGUUCGCACCAUAUCAGUGCCUAACUUACUGGAGCUGUAGUGUGAGCUUUCAAAGCAUUUCAUCAUGGGCGGUAAAGAUGCCAAGAUAUCUAAGGAUGCCAAGAGUUCUAAAGAGGCCAAGAGUUCUAAAGACGCAACUAGCUCUGGCGCCAAGGGGAAGGAGAAGGAAGUGAAGAAAGAGACUAGAUUGGGUCUCUCUUAUAAGAAGGAUGACAACUUCGGAGAAUGGUACUCUGAGGUACGAGUAUGGGGACAAUCUAAUUUAGUGUAUCUGUACUGUGGGAUUUCUGAUGUUGAUUCAAAUAUGAAACACCAAACGUUUGGUUCUUUUACACAUGGAAAACAAUUUAAGGAAACUUUCGCUAGCAGAGAUCGUGUGUUGUAUUUAAAUCAGGAAAAAUAUCAUUGUAUCAACUCAGAGUAUCAUUCUAUCCGGUAAAACUAUCAUUUUAUAUACAUACCUACAAAUCAGUAAAAGUAUCAUUGUAUCAA